rnacentral:snoRNA from 1 species
UUGCCCAAUGAUUAUAGCAAGACGCGUUAUUAUGAGGACUAAUGCUGGAACUCUUUCUCCUCCUCCUCAUUCUUCUCCUUCUUUGUCCCUUCCUCUUUCACCUUUUCCCCCCACUUUCCUUAGGGUAUCCAGCGUCCUAUGAGCAAGACUGAGAUAUGAGGGCAA